CGAAAUCUCGUUUUUGACGCGGUUUAAGUUAUUGACAUUUUUCGUAUUACUUUUAAUAAUUAAUUCGUAAUUAAAAGUAUAUCACUAAGAUUAUAUUUGUGACAUAAAACUUGAAAAAUAAUUUGUUAAUGUUUUCAAUUUGUCUAGAGUUUUAAAAGGUGCGAAGAGAUUAGCAGUAAAACUGUGAUCCUCGUUUGGUAAUGCUAUCAUCAUAAAGUCGUCCCUUGGCCAAAUAUGAAGAUGAUUACCGCUCAUUGAAAACUUUUUAACAAGAGUAAUAAAUAUUAUUAUAUUCCAAUUAGGUGACAGUUCACAUGGAAUAAAUAAUUCGAUGUAUCCAUGUUCUAUGUAAAUCUGACUGCAAUUAAAAAGUGGUCUUUUCAUAAAGAUUUUACGUAUUGUGGAAUAAGCUCCAUCUGCUCCGAUUAUUAAAUCAAUAUUUACUUCUUCCGUCGUAUGAUUUUUCAUACUAUAACAUAUGUAUAUAUAUAAAAAACGAUUAUAGAACAAAUCAUAUCAAUUUGUUAUUCAAUAAAAAAAUGUAUAUAUAUAUAUUUAUAUAAUAUAACAAAUAUGUAACAUUGAUUAUAUAUACACGUACGUACUUCAAAAUUGUUAAUUUUCCUUGAUCGAUAUCAGCAUCAACGAUUUUUGAAUUAAAGUGAAGUUUUACUUCUGGACGCUUUUCUGCAGCUAGAGUUAAAAAACACAGAUUAUAUAUUAUACAUCAGUUUCUAAAAUGUUCCGUUUAUUUUUCAGGCCAAUGAUAUAUAUAUAUAUAUAUAUAUAUAUAUAUAUAUAUACAAACACAUACA